AAAAUACUAUGAUGGUUGCAUAGUUCAGCAGAUUGAAUCAUGAAGAAAUUAGCCAUUUGUCUGAU
rnacentral:snoRNA from 1 species